UCAGAGUGGCGUCAGCCGGCCCUGGCCCGAAACACCGCCCCAUUGGCUAAGCAGCCCACAGGCUCCGCCUGAUUAGCGGAUACCUGGGCAAUGGGAGAGAAUGGGGGGCGGGGCCCAGGCGGCGGCGCCACGUUCAUUGACAAACGCGCUGGACUAAGGCCUAGUGGAUCGCGGCGGUGGGGAGGGGGAAGGGGGCCCAAGCAGUGCCUGGAGAGUCCCGCUGAGGGUCCCACGCGGGCUGGACCUCCCCACCGCGACGCUGGGAUCCUGGGACGCUCUCAAGGCUUGAGAGCAGCCGAGUGAAGGGGCUCUGAGACAACAAUCAAAGAAACUGGACCUUGAAAAGGAAGCGUGUGACAGUCAUUCUUCACCCAGGAAGCUAUAGUUCUGUGAGCCAUCUGGGCCCUGGCACAAGAACGACGCUGAGGAUUCCCUUGCCCCAGCAACUCAUGGGAGUGGUCCGAAGACUCACUUUCUAUUUCGGCACAGCUGCGGAAAACGGCCCCAGGCGGGCCUCUGGAGACCCAGGAGGCUGCAGUGCGCGCCGGGGUGGAGUGGCAGCGUUAUCUCUUCUUUGUCUGGAACCCCGCCUGUCCGGAUCUUCCCCUUUCACCCCCGGCCUUGGAGCAGGAAGAUCGCAACAGCAGAGAGGGACCGGGAUGGAAUAGACUUCCCGCACUGGCUUCACCUGAUGGCGCCCAGUGGGUCGGAAAUGACCAGAAUUCAGAUCCUCGGCCCAGACUCAACAUGGCGGCUUGCACACCUACUGGAGAGGCGGGAGUGCUGGACGCCCUGAGGGAUGCAGCUAGUGACACCCCCACCCCCAGCCUCUCUUGCUGAGCUCAGGCCUACAAACCCAGGUUCUCUAGAAUCUUAGAGCUAAAAGGGCCUCGAAGCUAUGCUUUCUCCAUUUCACGGGUGCAGAACCCGAGGCCCAGAGGCAGGAUACGACUUGUCCAAAGUCACACAGCAAGUCUGGGGUAGAAGAAAGGCUGCGGGCUGGAAACCUUUCUCAAAAGCGCCUCUCCAGAGCCGCUCUCGGGAUCGUGGGGGAGGGGCGAUGCUGCCAAAUCGAAGAACUCUGCUGGAAUAUGCCCGCACACGCAGGUUUUCCUUCAGAUACCCGUGAGGCUUGCAUAGAAUCCCCGGGGCACGGCCCGAGCAGGAGUAGCGCCGAUUCCCCCUUUCACACAGUAGGUGUUCGGCUUCGGGACAGUGUUCUGCUGCGUGGCACACACAGGACCCGUCUUACCUGUGCACCCAGAGCAGCCGCUUCCCGCAACUCGCGGCGUUCUUGGGGGAAGGAAUUUCCCCUGGAUAGGGGUGAUUCAUCACCACCCGAGCGGGCGGCCUCUGGGAAGUUCCAACCCCAAAAGGCGCGACCGGACCUGAUACCGUGACCACCUAGCCCAGCCUUACAGGUCACCAAACGACAGCCCAGAGAGGUUACGUGACUAGCUCGAGGCUGCACAGCAAGUCCAUGGUGGAGCCGGGCUACUGCGGCUCAGUCCUGCCUCUGAACGCCCACGAGCCGCAGCCUGGGUCCAGGAGAGCGAGACUAGCAGGGGCUGGUCUCACCGCAGCUCUCAACGCAGUCGGGCCUCGCUCUGAUCUACAGUGAUGCGCUUUCUUUCUCCCAGUAACAGGGUUUUGGGCCGGGCCCUGUGCUAGGCGCUGGGGGCAGGAGACGGCGAAAGGAAACUAUCCAGGAAGAAACUCAAUUUAUGUGAACCGAAUUGCCUUUGAAAGUUUUAGUACUGAAAGACAGCCCAUUGAGAAUAAUGUUUGAGAAGCCAGAGACCUCUCUUCACUGGGGACACACCCCCUCCCGGCUUCCCCUUCCACGCCUCCCAGCGCACUGCAUUACCGCGGCUUCAGGAUGUGGGGGCUGCUACAGUGCUCUAUUAGCCUGACAUCGACUCCCUCAACCCAAGUCCAGCCCAUUUCCCUGUUCUUGCUUCUGACAAAGUGAGGCCCAAUAGGGCUCAGACUGUUUGCUCAGUUCUGGAAAGAUCAGGGAUGCUGCCAGCAUGGCUAUCUCAACCCAUUGGGUUCUCUCUAAACUUCAUUUUCAAAAAAUAAAAAAAAAUUAAGUAUCAGAGGGAAAGAAAUUGACCUGAAAUUAUACAGCAAGUCGAGGCACAGCAGAUUCCUAUGUGAUUCCUGCCCCUGGAUCAGGAGUCUGCUCUAUUUGACCUGUCUCUGUUUUCAGGAGUUCUUGAAGAGGAUGGAGAAAAAAUGAGAAUUUAACCAGGUUUUUCAAGAAUCGUGUAAAACCGCCUUAGUCGGGGUGUGUUAUCAUUACCAGCAUGUCCUGCAGGCCAGGGGCACUGGGACUACUCUCUCUCCCAAAGACUUGAGACAGGCAGCCCCUUUUAAAGCCUCUGCUUCCCCGUUUGUUUAAUACAGAGAACAAACCCUGAGAUGUGACUUCUUAGGCUCUGUGAGAUGAA